rnacentral:rRNA from 2 species
UCAAGCUACAAAGGGCGCAUGGUGAAUGCCUUGGCAUCAGGAGCCGAUGAAGGACGUGAUAAGCUGCGAUAAGCUUCGGGUAGGCGCACAUAGCCUGAGAUCCGAAGAUCUCCGAAUGAGGAAACUCACAUGGGAAACCCCAUGUAUCAUUAAGUGAAUACAUAGCUUAAUGAAGGUAACCCAGGGAACUGAAACAUCUAAGUACCUGGAGGAAGAGAAAGAAAAAUCGAUUUUCUUAGUAGCGGCGAGCGAAAGGGAAAGAGCCCAAACCGGAAACUUGUUUCCGGGGUUGUGGACAUAACAUAAAAGUGGAGGCUAUUGUAACUGAAGAGAACUGGAAAGUUCCACCGUAGAAGGUAAUAGUCCUGUAAGUGAAACGAGAAGACCACGAGUUAUGAUCCAGAGUACCACGAGACACGUGAAACCUUGUGGGAAGCAGGGAGGACCACCUCCCAAGGCUAAAUACUACCUGAUGACCGAUAGUGAAGCAGUACCGUGAGGGAAAGGUGAAAAGAACCCCGGGAGGGGAGUGAAAUAGAACCUGAAACCGUGUGCCUACAACCGCUCAGAGCCCCUUAUGAGGGUGAUGAGGUGCUUUUUGUAGAACGAGCCAACGAGUUACGGUAUGUAGCAAGGUUAAGUACUUAAGGUACGGAGCCGAAGGGAAACCGAGUCUGAAUAGGGCGACUAGUUGCAUGCCGUAGACCCGAAACCGGGUGACCUAUCCAUGGCCAGGUUGAAGCGAGGGUAAAACCUCGUGGAGGACCGAACCACGUUGCUGUUGAAAAAGCAUGGGAUGAGCUGUGGAUAGCGGAGAAAUUCCAAUCGAACCCGGAGAUAGCUGGUUCUCUCCGAAAUAGCUUUAGGGCUAGCGUCGAGUAUGAGUAGUGGAGGUAGAGCACUGAAUGGGCUAGGGGGCAUAGCGCUUACCGAACCUUAUCAAACUCCGAAUGCCACAUACUUUGAGCUCGGCAGUCAGACUACGAAUGAUAAGAUCCGUGGUCAAAAGGGAAACAGCCCAGAUCGUCAGCUAAGGUCCCAAAGUGUAAGUUAAGUGGGAAAGGAUGUGAGAUUUCUAAGACAACUAGGAUGUUGGCUUAGAAGCAGCCAUUCAUUAAAAGAGUGCGUAAUAGCUCACUAGUCGAGAGAUCUUGCGCCGAAAAUGUAACGGGGCUAAACUUACCACCGAAGCUACGGGCUUGAACUUAGUUCAAGCGGUAGGAGAGCGUCGUAACCGGGCUGAAGUCGUACCGUAAGGAGCGGUGGACUGGUUACGAGUGAGAAUGUUGGCAUCAGUAGCGAGAUGUGGGUGAGAAUCCCACAGGCCGAAAACCUAAGGUUUCCUCAGGAAGGUUCGUCCGCUGAGGGUUAGUCGGGACCUAAGCCGAGGCCGAAAGGCGUAGGUGAUGGACAACUGGUUGAUAUUCCAGUACCACUACCAUCGUUAUUAUCGAUGGCGUGACGCAGGAGGAUAGUGUGUGCUAGCUAUUGGAUGCUAGUCUAAGCGUUUAGGCAGUGAGAGUAGGCAAAUCCGCUCUCAUAAUGCUGAGGCGUGAUGGGGAAGGUUCUACGGAACCGAAGUACAUGAUUCCACGCUGCCAAGAAAAGCGUCUAGAGAGAGAAGUAGUGCCCGUACCGCAAACCGACACAGGUAGGUGAGGAGAGAAUCCUAAGGCCGGCGGAAGAAUUACAGUUAAGGAACUCGGCAAAUUGACCCCGUAAGUUCGCGAGAAGGGGUGCCUACGAGAGUAGGCCGCAGAGAAUAGGCCCAAGCAACUGUUUAGCAAAAACACAGGUCUCUGCUAAAGCGUAAGCUGAUGUAUAGGGGCUGACGCCUGCCCGGUGCUGGAAGGUUAAGGGGAACACUUAGCGCAAGCGAAGGUGUGAACUUAAGCCCCAGUAAACGGCGGCCGUAACUAUAACGGUCCUAAGGUAGCGAAAUUCCUUGUCAGGUAAGUUCUGACCCGCACGAAUGGCGUAAUGACUUGGGCACUGUCUCAACUGUAAAUCCGGCGAAGUUGUAGUGCGAGUGAAGAUGCUCGCUACCCGCGAUUGGACGGAAAGACCCCGUAGAGCUUUACUGUAGCUUAGCAUUGAGUUUUGGUAUUGUCUGUACAGGAUAGGUGGGAGACUAGGAAACCAGGGCGUCAGCCUUGGUGGAGUCAACCUUGGGAUACCACCCUGACAGUACUGAAAUUCUAACUGGCGGCCAUGAAUCUGGUCACAGGACAUUGUUAGGUGGGCAGUUUGACUGGGGCGGUCGCCUCCUAAAAAGUAACGGAGGCGCCCAAAGGUUCCCUCAGAACGGUCGGAAAUCGUUCGAAGAGUGCAAAGGCAGAAGGGAGCCUGACUGCGACACCCACAAGUGGAGCAGGGACGAAAGUCGGGCUUAGUGAUCCGGUGGUACCUCGUGGGAGGGCCAUCGCUCAACGGAUAAAAGCUACCUCGGGGAUAACAGGCUGAUCUCCCCCAAGAGUCCACAUCGACGGGGAGGUUUGGCACCUCGAUGUCGGCUCGUCGCAUCCUGGGGCUGUAGUCGGUCCCAAGGGUUGGGCUGUUCGCCCAUUAAAGCGGCACGCGAGCUGGGUUCAGAACGUCGUGAGACAGUUCGGUCCCUAUCCGUCGCGGGCGUAGGAAAUUUGAGAGGAGCUGUCCUUAGUACGAGAGGACCGGGAUGGACUGACCUCUGGUGUACCAGUUGUUCCGCCAGGAGCACAGCUGGGUAGCUAAGUCGGGAAUGGAUAAACGCUGAAAGCAUCUAAGCGUGAAGCCAACCUCAAGAUGAGAUUUCCCAUAGCGUAAGCUAGUAAGAUCCCUUGAAGAACACAAGGUUGAUAGGUCGGGGGUGUAAGCAUGGUAACAUGUUCAGCUGACCGAUACUAAUAGAUCGAGGGCUUGACCAA